UUACAGUGCUGAUAACCCCUACGAAAAUGGAUUUCAAACUAGGGAAAUUUUCUCCAAUAGAGAAGAUAAAUACAAAGUUAGAUAAUAUAUUAGAAAUUAUUAAUCCUUUGUCACCAAAAAAAAACAAGCAAGGCUUGAAAACAUGCGAGAAGAAAAAUAAGAACACAUAUCGAUAAAUAAGAACACAUAUUAAGAUUAAGUGUUGAAAAGAAAAUGAAUUGUGGAGUAUUUCUUAAGUGAUGAUAUUGUAUUACAGAAUAGGAAAUUAACAUAUUUAAUACGAAACCAGCAAAGUAUAUAGGUCAUGUGCAAUGCAAAUUCUGUUUAUGUAUUGUGAUAAUUGAUUUAUCACAUAAUUAUUGAAAUUUCUGACAGACCAGUCAAAAAUCACAUAACCUCAAUUCAGUGAUA